ACCAGCAGCCAUAUCACUCUGCAACUCACAACUGGCAACCCACUGAAAGUAAACAGGUGUGAGCCUGGUCAGUACCUGGAUGGGAGACCUCCUGGGAAAAACUAAGGUUGCUGCUGGAA
rnacentral:rRNA from 1 species